rnacentral:rRNA from 1 species
CUUUACUGUAUUUUGACAUUGAAUUUUAUUUUUAUUUGCGAAGAAUAGGUGGGAGACUAUGAUAGAAAUUCUCCGGAAUUACUGGAGUCGUUACUGAGAUACCACUCUAAUAAUAAUGAAAUUCUUAAUUUUUUACUAUAAUCUAGAAAAAAGACAGUGUUUGAUUGACAGUUUGACUGGGGCGGUCGCCUCCUAAAAAGUAACGGAGGCGUACAAAGGUUUUCUCAAAUCAGUUAGAAAUUGAUUGCAGAACGUAAAGGUACAUGAAAGCUUGACUGUAAGACAAACAAGUCAAACAGAGACAAAAGUCGGUCUUAGUGAUCUAACGUUUACUAUAUGGAAAGGACGUUACUUAACGGAUAAAAGUUA